UUGCCUGGUCUGUAUCAAAAGACAGAAUCUUGAUGACUAAGACAUUUUCUUUGGUACCUACAAGAAGGAUCCAGCUCUCUACUUCUAUCAGCUCCUGGAUGACUACAAGAAAGGGAACCUCCACAUCAUUCCAGACACUCCUCUGGCUGAGGAGAGAUCAGGAGAUGACAGUGAUGUGUUGAUAGACAGAGACAUCAUGGCCUCCAUGCAGAGGAAUGUGUGGAUGGACAUAUAUUUAAGGAAGACACUAAACCAGAAAAUACCACAUUACACCCUCUUAAAAGACUUCUAAGAUUGUUGUCAUGCCUACCACAGACAUUCAGAUGAUGUGUAUUCUUGAUUGUGAUUUCAUGUUUGGAGCUGAUGAAGGAGAAAGUACCUGGAAUGUCCUAGAAUUCUCAAGACCCAGGAGAUGAACAUAUGCCUGAGAAGAAGAACUAGUGUGGAACUGUCAGCCAGGUUUUUGAUGAGUGCUCAGACUGCUUUUUGAUCCGGCACCACAUUUACUAUAGUGGACAGAUGCUCUAGUCUCUGAUGAGGAGUUGCUAGCUGUUAGGAAAAACCUGGAAUGGGCUCCACUGCAUGAGGUUUGAAGUCUCCAGAGCAGCAAAGAGAGUGGGGAGUAGAACUCAUCAUCUUUAGGUCACUCAGCAUC
rnacentral:lncRNA from 1 species